rnacentral:rRNA from 1 species
AGAGUUUGAUCCUGGCUCAGGAUGAACGCUAGCGGCAGGCUUAAUACAUGCAAGUCGAGGGGCAACAGGGGUAGCAAUACCUGCUGGCGACCGGCAAACGGGUGCGCAACACGUACAGAACCUUCCUUUAAGCGGGGGAUAGCCCAUAGAAAUGUGGAUUAAUACCCCAUAGUAAUAUUGAUUGGCAUCAGUUAAUAUUUAAAGAUUUAUCACUUAAAGAUGGCUGUGCGUCUGAUUAGGUAGUUGGUGUGGGUAACGGCCCACCAAGCCAUCGAUCAGUAACUGGUGUGAGAGCACGACCAGUCACACGGGCACUGAGACACGGGCCCGACUCCUACGGGAGGCAGCAGUAAGGAAUAUUGGUCAAUGGACGCAAGUCUGAACCAGCCAUGCCGCGUGAAGGAUGAAGGCCCUCUGGGUUGUAAACUUCUUUUAUCUGGGAAGAAAUGCUUGUUUUUCAACGAGUUUGACGGUACCAGAGGAAUAAGCACCGGCUAACUCCGUGCCAGCAGCCGCGGUAAUACGGAGGGUGCAAGCGUUAUCCGGAUUCACUGGGUUUAAAGGGUGCGUAGGUGGGUUAGUAAGUCAGUGGUGAAAUCUCCGUGCUUAACAUGGAAACUGCCAUUGAUACUACUGGUCUUGAAUUUUCUGGAGGUAAGCGGAAUAUGUCAUGUAGCGGUGAAAUGCUUAGAUAUGACAUAGAACACCAAUUGCGAAGGCAGCUUACUACAGGGAUAUUGACACUGAGGCACGAAAGCGUGGGGAUCAAACAGGA